rfam:TPA: Bos taurus chromosome 5, whole genome shotgun sequence.
UCCCUUGUGGCUUAGCUGGUAAAGAAUCUGCCCACAAUGCAGGAGACUUGGGUUCAAUUCCUGGUUUGGGAA